GUCUACGGCCAAACCACCCUGAAUGCGCCCGAUCUCGUCUGAUCUCGGAAGCUAAGCAGGGUCGGGCCUGGUUAGUACUUAGUACUUGGAUGGGAGAUAUGAGAAGGGGAGCAAUGGAAG
rnacentral:rRNA from 1 species